UGGGGAAUAUUGCACAAUGGGCGCAAGCCUGAUGCAGCCAUGCCGCGUGUGUGAAGAAGGCCUUCGGGUUGUAAAGCACUUUCAGCGGGGAGGAAGGCGUUAAGGUUAAUAACCUUGGCGAUUGACGUUACCCGCAGAAGAAGCACCGGCUAACUCCGUGCCAGCAGCCGCGGUAAUACGGAGGGUGCAAGCGUUAAUCGGAAUUACUGGGCGUAAAGCGCACGCAGGCGGUCUGUCAAGUCGGAUGUGAAAUCCCCGGGCUCAACCUGGGAACUACAUUCGAAACUGGCAGGCUAGAGUCUUGUAGAGGGGGGUAGAAUUCCAUGUGUAGCGGUGAAAUGCGUAGAGAUGUGGAGGAAUACCGGUGGCGAAGGCGGCCCCCUGGACAAAGACUGACGCUCAGGUGCGAAAGCGUGGGGAGCAAACAGG
rnacentral:rRNA from 1 species